UACGUAGGGUGCGAGCGUUGCCCGGAUUUAUUGGGCGUAAAGGGCGCGUAGGCGGCCACGCACGUCCGUUGUGAAAUCGCCCGGCUCAACUGGGCGGGGUCAGCGGAUACGGUGUGGCUCGAGCAAGCUAGGGGGCAAUGGGAAUUCCCGGUGUAGUGGUGGAAUGCGUAGAUAUCGGGAGGAACACCAGUGGCGAAGGCGGUUGCCUGGAGCUUUGCUGACGCUGAGGCGCGAAAGCGUGGGGAGCGAUCCGG
rnacentral:rRNA from 1 species